UGCAAUUUGAUUUCUAAGCUGCCAGGGCUGUAGGCUCGUUAGUGAGGGAAAAUUUCCAGUCCUUUUUCCUUGGAGUGGAGAGACAGGAUUGACCACACCCCAGGAACAGCCCUACAAAAUCCGGAGGAAAGAGGGAAAACGUAGGCGCUGAGAGACAUUUCCUGCAAUCUUCCACGCAGAGAAAAACGGACUGGGGAGCUGUUCCCUGGUGUGUGCAUUUCUGAAAACAUCUGACGGCGUCCAUGGCGUCUUCAGCCACUUCAACAGCGAGGUUUUAUAUAAGAUAUGCAGCGUUCCUGGCCGAUUGGAAUUCUCAGCACAUCAUCAGAUCACAGUGAUAUGACAAAAAAUGUGGGCACUCAGCCUGAGAAAUGAGGUCAUGCUCCAGAGGAAGCAGGCAGACAAGCGAGACUGAGCUGAAGGGUGAAUGCAGCCCUUAGCAUUCUGGGAUAAGGAAACUGAUGCAUCGACCUGUGUGGAGCUGCGCCCAUCAGCUGGCGAUCACGAUUUCUGAGGCAACACUAUCAGCAGAACGGGGAAGGCCGGUGACACAGGGACAUCAGGAGCGCCAGAAGGAGGAAGUCAGAAAGCCUUUGGGAACAGGAAUCUCCCUGCGUUGCAAACAUUUCUGGACAGGGAGAGAUGAAGAACACAGAAUGAGUUC